GAGCCUCUCCCACUUUCCCAAACACCCCAGCCCUUUUCCUGAACCAUGCCCUACACCCACAAUCCAGCCACUAACAGGUUAACACCUAGAACGGCAGGAAGUUUCUUAGACCAGUGUCCCAGGACUGAGACCAAAGGAAUACAACAUUUAUUUCUACAGGUCCCAUACAUGCUCACCAGCCAGUGUCAAAUGCAAGCUGCCCUGCUCUCCACGGGAGUAGCAAUGAGUGCCUGCUGCCUGCUGAACAUCUUGGAGACGACUUCCAGUUGUUGAUAACCAUAAUAGAAAGAUGGCCCCAAUGCCAGAAGAGUGAGGUGCUUCUGUAACAGAAACCUAUAGCGUUGGAGCGGCUUUGGAACUGGGCGGUGGGAGAAGUUGGAAGGACUUGGGGUAGAGCGUCAGUGAAAGCCUGCAAAGUCUGGAAGAAACUCAAACUGUGUGAAGAAAGAGAAAAUCUAGAGAAGGACUAAAAAGAAAAAUCUAGAACUUGCUAGACUUGAAAAUUCCUAUCUUCUCUAGAUGAUGAAUAAUGCUAAAAUGAAGAAAUGGUUUCCAGUCAAAAAUAAGCCCUAGGACCGUGCAAAGAGCUGCUACUUUUUUGAGAAUGGUGCAUCAAUCCCUGUUUCAAAUGCAGAGAAAUAAUUUCCAAAGAAAUGAACUGGAGAAAAUAGAGAUGCACAUGGAAUGGAAACAAAACAAACCUUCUGAUUCCACCCCACCUCCCCACCCCACAUUCUAUAGAGUUGUUCUGAGGUUAAAAAAACCAAAGAUUUCAAAAACACAAAUCAUUGACAAAAGCUGCACACGGAUUAAGUAUACACUAUAUACGUGGAGACAUUAAGAAUUAUUUGGUUUUUACCACACCCCACACCCCGGCAUUUUUGUGAAAAUCAUAUGGAAAUUCUAGCUCAAAAUUACCAAAGGGAAUCGAUGGAACACAAACACUAUCCCGUUCCCCUUCACAUUGCUUAACCACACUUCAGCCUCUCCCUGGAGUAGAUCGGAAUGCCCUUUUCCUUUCCUAAAUACAAAACAAAAGCUCCUAAAUAAAAGAACAAAAGAUAUGGGGUGGGUGUAGGGGUUGCUUACACUACCAGCAGCCACCCAACAAUGCCUGAUGUGUUAAGAACAUGUUUCAGGGGUGCCUACCUGGCUCAGUGAUGCCUGUGACUCUUGAUCUUGGGGUGAGGUUGAACCCCAUGUAGGGUGUAGAGAUUACCUAAAUUACUCUUUUUGGGCAGCCCGGGUAGCCCAGCAGUUUAGCACCGACU